UACGUAGGGUGCGAGCGUUGCCCGGAAUUAUUGGGCGUAAAGGGCUCGUAGGCGGUCUGUCGCGUCGGGAGUGAAAACUCAGGGCUUAACCCUGAGCCUGCCUCCGAUACGGGCAGACUAGAGGUAUGCAGGGGAGAACGGAAUUCCUGGUGUAGCGGUGGAAUGCGCAGAUAUCAGGAGGAACACCGGUGGCGAAGGCGGCAUCCUGGACCGGUAUUGACGCUGAGGCGCGAAAGCCAGGGGAGCAAACGGG
rnacentral:rRNA from 1 species